UGAUUCCUGGGAUAAGUCAUCCUGGAUGAUGUGGAUGGUUGUCGCAGUGAAGAUGGUGAACAGUGUUGGGGCAAUCACGCAUCCCUGUUUCACUCCUGAUCUGACUUGAAACGGCUCACAGUUGCUGCUGCUGGCCAUGACUGUGUCAAGCACGUCAUCGUGGAGGAGUCUCAGAAUU